AGCUCGUAGUUGAAUUUCGGGAUCAAUUUAUUGGUCGUGCUAUUGUACGUACUGGUAUUAUUGAUUUCUACCUUCUGACGAACCAUGAUGUCAUUAAUUUGGUGUCUUGGGGAAUCAGGACUGUUACUUUGAAAAAAUUAGAGUGUUUAAAGCAGGCUCACGCUUGAAUACAUUAGCAUGGAAUAACGAAAUAGGACGUUUGAUUCUAUUUUGUUGGUUUCUAGGAUCGACGUAAUGAUUAAUAGGGAUAGUUGGGGGCAUUAGUAUUCAAUUGUCAGAGGUGAAAUUCUUGGAUUUAUUGAAGACUAACUACUGCGAAAGCAUUUGCCAAGGAUGUUUUCAUUAAUCAAGAACGAAAGUUAGGGGAUCGAAGACGAUCAGAUACCGUCGUAGUCUUAACCAUAAACUAUGCCGACUAGGGAUCGGAUGAUGUUAAUUUUUUAAUGACUCAU
rnacentral:rRNA from 1 species